rnacentral:SRP_RNA from 1 species
CCGUGCAGCCGGGGAGAUAGCGGUGCCCUGUACCCGCAAUCCGCUACAGCGGGGGUGAUGUCCUGCCCCGGGUAUUCUGCUGUGGAGCUGCCCUUUAUAAGUGGUGUUGACGUCUGGGUCUUGCGCAACAGGAAUUUGCGAACCGUGUCAGGUCAGGAAUGAAGCAGCACUAAGCAAACACCCCUGUGUGCCGUAAGGGUGCCUGGGCCGAGCUAACUGUAGAGGUAACGUCUAUGGCAGAUAUUCAAAGCAGGACGCACGG